GGUAGAAUUACCCGCUGAACUUAAGCAUAU
rnacentral:rRNA from 1 species